GGCAAGGUGGCCGAGCGGUCCAAGGCGCCAGGUUCAGGACCACCUGAAUUCGUGAAAAGUAUUCCAAGCUCGUAAUAACUUGGUCUGCUGUCUACUUACUUCCUGGUCUCAGAAAUGGGGCGCGAGUUCGAAUCUCGCCCUUGUCA